rnacentral:rRNA from 1 species
UACGAAGGGGGCUAGCGUUGUUCGGAAUUACUGGGCGUAAAGCGCUCGUAGGCUGAUUACUAAGUCAGGGGUGAAAUCCCGAGGCUCAACCUCGGAACUGCCUUUGAUACUGGUGAUCUCGAGUCCGGAAGAGGUGAGUGGAAUUCCUAGUGUAGAGGUGAAAUUCGUAGAUAUUAGGAAGAACACCAGUGGCGAAGGCGGCUCACUGGUCCGGUACUGACGCUGAGGAGCGAAAGCGUGGGGAGCAAACAGG